AAUCUUUAAGCACAUGUCGUUUCUAAUGACAUCUUUUAGAUGAAUGAUUCGUGUAAAUAUGCUAGUUCUUUCAUGAUUAUGUGAUAGGUGGUGCAUGGCCGUUCUUAGUUCGUGGAGUGAUCUGUCUGCUUAAUUGCGUUUCACUAUGGCCCCAAAGUUAGCAAGUUAUCCAAUCAUGACCUUCGUCGACCCCUCACCUUUGAGUGCGCGUCCUAGCUUAGAGUACAUGGUGUAAAUGGACUUGUUUUGGGUACCCAGAAAGCAACGAACGUGACCGCAACGUCUUGUUGUCUCUCUUUUGACAGUUAUGGGUUAUCCCAGUCAUGUGUUUAUACUUUUAUGUGUAAAUACGUACGACACAGAGACUAGAUACCAAACUAGGCGUACCGCUGUAUCAUUUCUUUAAACCAGAGGAAGGUUGCGGCAAUAACAGGUC
rnacentral:rRNA from 1 species